rnacentral:rRNA from 1 species
UACGUAGGGAGCAAGCGUUGUCCGGAUUCAUUGGGCGUAAAGAGCUCGUAGGCGGCUAAUUAAGUCAGAUGUGAAAACUCCAGGCUCAACCUGGAGACGCCAUUUGAUACUGCUUUGGCUUGAGUUCGGUAGGGGACCAUGGAAUUCCUGGUGUAGCGGUGAAAUGCGCAGAUAUCAGGAGGAAUACCGAUGGCGAAGGCAGGUCUCUGGGCUAUAACUGACGCUCAUGCACGAAAGCGUGGGGAGCAAACAGG